AUUGAACGCUGGCGGCAGGCCUAACACCUGCAAGUCGAACGGAGUGGCGGACGGGUGAGUAAUGUCUAGGAAUCUGCCUGGUAGAGGGGGAUAACGUCUGGAAACGGGCGCUAAUACCGCAUACUAUCAGAUGAGCCUAGGUCGGAUUAGCUGGUUGGUGGGGUAACCGCUUACCAAGGCGACGAUCCGUAACUGGUCUGAGAGGAUGAUCAGGCACACGGGAACUGAGACACGGUCCAGACUCCUACGGGAGGCAGCAGUGGGGAAUAUUGGACAAUGGGCGAAAGCCUGAUCCAGCCAUGCCGCGUGUGUGAAGAAGGUCUUCGGAUUGUAAAGCACUUUCAGUUGGGAGGCGUUACCAACAGAAUAAGCCCCGGCUAACUUCGUGCCAGCAGCCGCGGUAAUUC
rnacentral:rRNA from 1 species